rnacentral:rRNA from 1 species
UACGUAGGGUCCAAGCGUUGUCCGGAAUUACUGGGUAUAAAGGGUGCGCAGGCGGGCUUGUGCGUCGAGGGUUAAAGACCCGAGCUUAACUCGGGAAGUGCCCUCGAUACGGCAAGUCUUGAGUAUGAGAGAGGAUAGUAGAAUUCCUGGUGUAGCGGUGAAAUGCGUAGAUAUCAGGAGGAAUACCAGUGGCGAAGGCGGCUAUCUGGCUCAUAACUGACGCUUAGGCACGAAAGCGUGGGGAUCAAACAGG